CGCGCGCGGUCACCUGACCCGGAAGAGGCUGGCCGGGGCGGGCAGGUGCGGACCACCUACACCCGGGCUGCGAGCUUUCGACCCUGCUGAGGUCCGGGUGGGAAAGGAGCUCCUCGUCCCGGGCUGUGCCCCAGCGGACGUAGAAACUGGAGGCCCACCGGGCACCAGGGGCUUUAUUUAUUCCUUUGGAAGUAGAGUUGUUUCCCUCCGUGUGUACGUACAGGUGGGAGAUGACCAUCCGGUCAAUUAGGUCAGCCAAGUCUUUCGGGGGUUACUGGAUUAAAAAUAUAUAUAUAUAUGCUAGCCGGACGGUGGUGGCGCUCGCCUUAAUGCCAGCAUUUGGGAGGCAGAAGUAAGCAGAUCUCUGUGAGUUCGAAGCCAGCCUGGUCUACAGAGUGAGUUCCAGGACAGCCAGGACUGUACUACACAGAGAAACGCUGUUUCGAAAAACAAACCACCAAAAAACUUGCUAACCCCAAAAAACAGUAUGCUCCCCCAAAUUUGAAUGCUGGACAAACCCUGUAACUAUAACCACGUCCCCAAAUUUGCAAGGGAUGUAUUGACGCCCACAAAGGUCCUGAUGAACCUGUCUACUGAGUUUGGAAAGCAUCAGAAGAGGCACAUUUAAUCACCAUUGGUACAUGCCCACCAAGUAGUCUCAGGGCCCAGGAAUAUUGCUGUUGUGCAGGUCCCAGGUCUGGGCCUUAAGGUUUGGACCAUGACCCUGUAUUCGUACCAAACAUAAGACUCAGGAGCAGGCAGAAGGGCAGUGAGCAGAAGAGCCUGGGGCUAAUGAGACUUUCAUUGUAAUGGGUCCAUAGCCCAGAGACCAUCUGUCUGGCAUCAUCAUUUGCUGCUUCCACUUUCUUGACCUGAGUGUGGUGGAUCCACGAUGUCAUGCUACUUAUGUUCACAAUCAGAGAAGUGGAGAGAAUCCGUCGAGGGGCCUUUCCAAGUGGGUCCCAGCAUCCCUUUCGUUACCAGCUUGACCCGGUGGAUGCUGAAGGACAAGGGUAAAGUGGUGGCGGUCCCGGAGGUCGGCUAGGUCUCUCGGGUCGUCCAAUGACUAGCCUGUGUGGAGGGCUGGAGGGCUCGUAACGGCUUGAGAAGGGAGUGGUUAGAGAUCUGUCAACUGCUGGUCCCUGAGCUAGAGAAGCGUCGGGGGAGGUCUUCCAAAAACAAUCUCAUAGGGAAUAAACCCCCCUCCCUCUAUGGGGUGUAGCAGGCUCAAAGUCAAGCAAAGGAAGGAAGUCUAUCCACCCUUCACUGGACUCUAAUGAGAGUUUUGUUGUUGUUUUUUUAAUGUCCUAUUUAUUCUUUUUCCCUGUCCAAAAUUCUGAGGUCUGUGUGCACAAUGAAGUUUUCAGUGUAUGUCUGAAGCUUUAGCUAUUAAUUGAGUGAUUUAACUGUGAAGGCUGGGCCACUGUCACACCCCAUUGCUAGGGGAAGGUUAAAUCAACACCAGUUCCUGGAGGAGCUUUUGAGCUGCCAUUUGAGCAAUUUCAGUCUGGGUAGAACGUUUCUACCCACCUGGAAAAGGCAUCUAUAAAAACUAGCAAGUAUUUGUAUUCUCCCCUAGCAGGCUGAUCUCAGGGAUGUCAGUUUUCCCAGAGUUCACUGGGGUGUUGGUCUCUCAUUGAGAACCCCUUUUUAGGUAAGGGACCUCUGUUUUGAAUUAAUUGAGCACAAACCUGGCACCUGGCUGAGACAUCUUGUGCCAGGCUAUCCAGCCUAGUUAUAACAUGCCUUGGUCUGAACAGAUCAGAAAGCUUUGUGAUCCCUAAGUGAGUAGCCUGGUGAAGGGCAGUUGCCAGAGUCCUUCCUGCUAGUUGUUUCUGGGAGAAUGAUCUUUCACUCUCGUGUCGUCCAUCAACGUGUGGGUUCGAGCUAUCCAUUUCUUCUUUACUAUAGAGUUAGUUACUAUAGGCCCCACCCAUCUGAGGGCCAUUUGUCAGACAGCCAGGUCAGCGGUUGGCAGUGAAGGACAGCAGUUCAUAGGGGGAGCCAAACCUUUUCUAGGAGGGCCAAGGCUUUCUAGUGUCCUUUUUCCAGCAGGGAGAAGCCCUCUUUCUCUGUACAUCAUACCGUAGACAUGCCCAGUAGUAAAGGCAAAGCGACUAUCUGUGUAUAUGGUGGUGGACUUUCCUAUUCCCCACCUGAGAGCCUGGGUCAGAUUGACCGGUGCUGCUCUCUGGGCUGAGGUCCCUGGCUUGGGCCCAGAUCAUUUCGGUUCCAUCUUUCAUCUCACGGCAGUCAUGGAUGAGCACCUGUGGGCUGUCAUCAGGCAAGAGAGUAGCAGGAUGGAUGGCAGUGGAUUUCUCAAACCAGACCUGAGGGUGGGCCAGGAGCAGGGCCUGGUACUGGCUCACACAGUCAUUAGACAGCCAGCAUUCUGGUCUCAACCAUGUGGGGGACUGUGAGUUAUAAGAUCCUGACCCAGAGUUAACUUGUUUGUUUUUCAUUAGACUAGCGGUAGCUGCCGUAGCUCUUAGACAGGUGGGUUAUCCUGUGGCUUCAUACAGGGUCCAAUCGUUAGGACAGGUGUAUCACAGCGUGUUUCCAUGGCUCCAGAAUUUGGAUCAAAACCCCUAUUGUCUUUUGUUUCAUGGACAAACAGAUCAAACGGUUUUGAGGCAUCUGCAAAUACUAGAGCUGGAGCUGAACUCACUUUGUAGCCCAGCCUGGCCUCAAACUCACAGACAUCAGCCUGACUCUCCCUCCCAAGUGCUGGGAUUAAAGGUGUGUGCCACCAUCGCCCAGCUCAGAGCUGUUUUUAAAGCUUCAAAUGCCUUCUGUUUAGUCUCAGUCCAGAUUAGGGGCUCGGUGUCCGCCUUUGUGCUGAUGUAGAGAGGCCUUGCUGUUCCCACAGACUCUGGUAUCCAGAGGCAGCAGUGCCUCGCUGCUCCUGGGAACUCUGGAACCUGUGUCUGAAGGAUGACAGCAGUCCGACUCUGAGACAGGCUCCUUGUGCCUCCCCCUCGGCCAGUAUCCAAGAUAGGCAGCCUCUGAUGUACAAAGUUGGGAUUCCUUAGCUGACAUUCUGUGGCCCAAGGUCUGUAACUCUUGCAGCAGUCCCUCAAUGGCCCUUUCAUAAUCUGUUUUCCCAGGAAACCUCUAAUAGAAGGGCAGGAGGUCAGCUCUUAUGUCUCAUCAAACAGGCUGGCAGAUUUUUAAAUCUUUGGAGCAACCUAGUCCAUGUAAGUUGCCCAUUGUAACUUCCCACUGGGUCUGUCCACUUAAAAGCGAAGAUGGGUUGACUCACCUCUGCCAAUGGAAUGCUGAAGAAUGCAUCCUUCAUGUCCAAGACAGUGUACACCUGUUUCUCUGAAAUAAUCAGACUCAAGACAGUCAGAGGUCCCAGGUUUCUUCAUAGGCAGGAGGGUGUAUUCCAUGGUGACUGGCAGGGCACCAGGAUGCCUUUCUCUCCAAGCAAGGUAAUAUGGACUGCAGUUUCCCUUUUUGUUUAAGGGUCAUUGGGUAUUGUUUAAUCUGGAUGGAGUAGCUGAACUGGUUAGUUGAACAAUUAAUUAUAGGAACUUAGACCAGUCCUGGGGUGUUGGUUUCUACCCAUACCCCAGGAAACUUUGUUGUUAGUCUGAGAGAUAGUCUAACUAUACCUUUUGAUUGGAGACAGAACUUCCAGCUAGGCAAUAUUCUUCUGACAGAGGGUAAGACACAAAAAUUUUGCUGGGUAUCUGUAGUUGGAAUUUUCUUUGGGCCACCAACCAGCUCCCAAAUAAAGACACAGGAACUUGUUAUUAAGAAUACUUGGCCCAGCUGGGCGAUGGUGGCACAUACCUUUAAUCCCAGCACUCUGGAAGCAGAGGCAGG